AUCCGUUUUCUUCAAAGGCCAGUGUGCCUUCUUGUUUUAAAUCGCGGUUUAAACCGCUGCAUCCUAUUAGAUGUGAAUCGUUUUGUCAAGAGUGAGCCCCGGUGGCAUUGAAAUUAUGCAGUACAUAUCCUCUGAAGGCCUAUUGUCUGCCCCGGGGCUUCACGACUUACUACUUUACUAGUCCACGCGGUCGUCAGGGCCAAGCGUUUUGCUAGUUGUACACAAUGUUCCUACUUCCUCACCUGGUCGCGUUGUCCCAAGCGCACCCUGAGGCUGUCUGCAGCUGAGAGUGGACUGGUGGGAGCAGGUCCGGACUGUUCCCCAGUGCUAAUUCGAAGCAUGGCGUCAGUGCAGGAGUGUGGUCUUGCAGACGAGGUCAGAGUGUUCCCUUUUAUUUUAUUAAGGCGCCCAAUAUUUAGUUACCUUUACCAGUAGUUUACCGAGGUCUUCCAGCAUCUUGAAACACAGACUCACCCCCUGUGCUCUAA